AUUGAACGCUGGCGGCAUGCCUUACACAUGCAAGUCGAACGGUAACGCGGGGCAACCUGGCGACGAGUGGCGAACGGGUGAGUAAUGUAUCGGAACGUGCCCAGUUGUGGGGGAUAACUGCUCGAAAGAGCAGCUAAUACCGCAUACGACCUGAGGGUGAAAGCGGGGGAUCGCAAGACCUCGCGCAAUUGGAGCGGCCGAUAUCAGAUUAGGUAGUUGGUGGGGUAAAGGCCCACCAAGCCAACGAUCCGUAGCUGGUCUGAGAGGACGACCAGCCACACUGGGACUGAGACACGGCCCAGACUCCUACGGGAGGCAGCAGUGGGGAAUUUUGGACAAUGGACGCAAGUCUGAUCCAGCCAUGCCGCGUGCGGGAAGAAGGCCUUCGGGUUGUAAACCGCUUUUGUCAGGGAAGAAACGCUCUGGGUUAAUACCUCGGGGUAAUGACGGUACCUGAAGAAUAAGCACCGGCUAACUACGUGCCAGCAGCCGCAGUAA
rnacentral:rRNA from 1 species